rnacentral:ncRNA from 1 species
GCGUGGGUCGGCCCGCUGUACUGGAUCCAGUGGGCUGGGGGACACCGCCGCCUACAUCCCCGCGGGCGGCGGACCGGUCCGGGAGGCGAACUCCGCCUCCCGGACCGUA